AAGACUAUAGACCUGCGGAGUACCUGCGGAAGGAUCAUUAACGUAUCUAUGAUGGGGUGCGGAGCGCCCUGCUCCGGUCGAACGGCCGUGCAGCGGGUGCGCCGCCCCCGUCCCACCUCACAAACCCACUGUGAACAUUCACCGGUGGAGGGGGCUUGGUCUGCGCCGUGUCCCCGAUGCCGAAUACCCAAACUCCAGUUGCAAAGAACGUCGUGCGGACUCGGUGCCGCCUAAAACAUG
rnacentral:misc_RNA from 1 species